UUACGGCCUUAUCACUUUUGAAACAGCGGUUCGCAUACGAUCACCGAAGUUAAGCAACGUCGAACCUGGUCAGUAUCAAGAUGGAUGACUACUUGGGAAUAUCAGACGUUGUAAG